rnacentral:misc_RNA from 1 species
GAUGAAGAACGCAGUGAAAUGCGAUACGUAAUGUGAAUUGCAGAAUUCAGUGAAUCAUCGAGUCUUUGAACGCACAUUGCGCCCCCUGGUAUUCCGGGGGGCAUGCCUGUCCGAGCGUCAUUGCUGCCCUCAAGCACGGCUUGUGUGUUGGGCCUCCGUCCUCCUCCCGGGGGACGGGCCCGAAAGGCAGCGGCGGCACCGCGUCCAGUCCUCGAGCGUAUGGGGCUUCGUCACCCGCUCUUGUAGGCCCGGCCGGCGCUUGCCGACACAUCAAUCUUUUUUCCAGGUUGACCUCGGAUCAGGUAGGGAUACCCGCUGAACUUAAGCAUAUCAAUAAGCGGAGGA